ACUUAGGGCUCGUGAAUUUCUUUCAGCACGGUCUAAACAUGACAACCGGGAAGACGAGUCACUCACUGAAGCUUUGUCAUCACCCAACUCAGCGCCCAUGAACUGAAGACAUAAGAGAUAGAGGAAGAGGGGAAACAACAAUGUCAGAGAGCGAAUGGACUGCUGGGGAGAGAAACCACUCAGAUGUCCUCUCGUCUCAGUCUGUCACCUGUUCGUCCUCCAGGGGAACCUUGGGUUUGACAGCCAGGAUCAGAUCAGUACUCAAGAGGAUGAAGAAACACAGUGCGGACCACGGUAAAAGUGAUUGUUUAAUGGAAACUGGUCGGCUGCCUCUCCAAGGAGCAGCUCCGUGUGAGCUGCGAGCCGCUGCCCUCCUGGCUCUGAAUGGCUGGUUGGUCCUGCAGAGACGUGGCUCGUAACAAAGCCUCACCCACCUGCGUGGCUUGCCGUUCUCGUCAGGUGGGAUGACAGUGAUGUGGAUCUUGUGCGCAGUGCGGAGCAGCCUGGUCCUCUCCUCGGGGCUCAGGUGAACCAGCG